AGAAUUGAACUUUCUGGGCUGUUAAGAGUGGCCUGAAACCAAGAUCAGAUGGGACAGAAAAGUGACAAGAGGGAAUUGAAAGUAUCUAUGAGUGUUCUUACUUGACUUCCUGUGAAGGAUGGAUUUGCUUGUUCAGUGGUUACAGUAGAUGUGCAUCUGCAUUGCCUUGUGUUGAAACAAGAGCGAACAGGAAUCCUGCUGGCCUCACUUCUAUUGUGGCUUCUGCCUUAGGUAGACAUAAAUCUGGAAGUUUUGAAGCAGAGGGUGGAUGGUGGUACUUCAAAAAUGAGCUAAUCCAUGGAAUAGAACUGCUCAUAUCCAAGAAAGCUUAA
rnacentral:lncRNA from 1 species